AUGCUGAGUGCGCAUACUGCAGUACAAAAGGGAACAUUUCCCUGCAUAUAUUCCUCUUUCUUCCUUGAGUUUUCUCCAGUGUGUUUCACAGGGAAACUGUCAUUCUUAUCUGCAGUGAAAAAUGGGGAUAAACCUAAUUCUCUACUUUCUUCUUUCAUCCAGCAAUUCUGACAAUCCAAAUGAAUAAAUGAAAAUCACAGCCAACAGGAAAAUAACCUAGCAGAAGGAAACUGCAUGCAGCACAAAAUAAUUGCACUCCUUUUUUUGUCACAAAUCAUCCAUUGAAUUUCAAGGAGCUGUAUUUUUAGCGAGAAAGUGGUGAUGAUGCAGAAAAUGAGAACAAAAACGUCCCGAUAUCAAUAUUAAAUCCUUGGCCACAGGAAAAAGAUUUGGCAUCACCUGAGGUGAAGGUAUCAACACAUAGUUCUUUCUGUAUGGUCUGCAAGAUACGUGGACGAUUCCCAUCAGACUCGUAUACUGGAUUCCAUGAUGCACAAAGUAGUUGUCAUCUAAU